rnacentral:rRNA from 1 species
ACUUUUAACAACAAAUCUCUUAGUUCUAGUAUUAAUAAAGAACGCAGCGAAAUAUAAUAAGUAGUGUAAAUUAUAGAAUUUAGUAAAUUAUUAAAUCUUUAAACGCAUAUUGCGCCCCUUAGUAUUCUAUAGGGCAUGCCUGUUUAAGCGUUAUUUGUACCCUUAAGCUCUGCUUAGUGUUAGGUAUUUGUUCUACUUAGGACUUGCCUUAAAACAAUUAGCAGCUAGUAUAUUAGCCUAGAGCGCAGCACAUUUUACGCCUCUUGUUAUAGUUAUUAGUAUCUAUUAAGACACUUUUUAAGCUCUUAACCUUAGAUUAGGUAGGGAUACCCGCUAAACUUAAGUAUAUUAAUAAGUAGAGGAAAAGAAACUAAUAGGGAUUGCCCUAGUAACAGCGAGUGAAGUGGCAAUAGCUUAAAUUUAAAAUCUAGCUCUUUUAGGGUCUAAGUUGUAAUUUGCAGAGGGCGCUUUAGCGUUAGUAGUAGUCUAAGUUCCUUAGAAUAGGACGUUAUAGAGGGUAAGAAUCCUAUAUGUGGUUGCUAGCCUUUGCUGUGUAAAGCCCCUUUAACAAGUUAAGUUAUUUAGGAAUGCAGCUCUAAAUAGGAGGUAAAUUUCUUUUAAAGCUAAAUACUAGCUAGAGACUAAUAGCGUAUAAGUAGAGUAAUUAAAAGAUAAAAAGCACUUUAGAAAGAGAGUUAAAUAGCACGUGAAAUUGUUAAAAGGGAAGCGCUUGCAGCUAGACUUGCCUGUAGUUACUUAUCUAGGCUUUUGUCUAGUGCACUCUUCUAUAGGCAGGCUAGUAUUAGUUUAGGUAGUUAGAUAAAGGUCUCUAUUACGUACCUCCCUUUAGGGAGGCCUUAUAGGGGAGACAAUAUACAACUAGCCUAGACUAAGGUCCGCGUAUCUACUAGGAUGCUAGCGUAAUAGCUGUAAGCGGCCUAUCUUAAAACACGGACUAAGGAGUCUAAUAUCUAUGCAAGUGUUUAGGUAUUAAGCCUAGACGCGUAAUAAAAGUAAACAGAUGUAGGAACCCUUUUAGGGUACACUAUUAACUAAUCCUAAUAUCUUUAGAAGGAUUUAAGUAAGAGUAUAGCUAUUAGGACCUAAAAGAUAGUAAACUAUGCUUAAAUAGGGUAAAGCUAGAGGAAACUCUAGUAGAGGCUUAUAGCAGUUCUAACGUGCAAAUCAAUUGUUAAAUUUAGGCAUAGGGGCGAAAGACUAAUUAAACUAUCUAGUAGCUAGUUCCUACCAAAGUUUCCCUUAGGAUAGCAGUAAUGUAUUUAGUUUUAUAAGGUAAAGCGAAUAAUUAGAGGCCUAGGGGUUAAAACAACCUUUACCUAUUCUUAAACUUUAAAUAUAUAAGAAGUCCUUAUUACUUAAUUAAACGUAGACACUUAAAUAUACUAUUACUAGUAGGCUAUUUUUAGUAAGUAGAACUAGCGAUGCAGGAUGAACUAAACGCAGGGUUAAGGUGCUAGAAUGCACGCUUAUUAGACACUACAAAAGGUGUUAGUUUAUCUAGACAGCAGGAUAGUAGCUAUAGAAGUUAGAAUCUACUAAGGAGUGUGUAAUAACUUACCUGCUAAAUAAACUAGCCCUAAAAAUAGAUGGCGCUUAAGCGUGUUACCUAUACCCCGCCGCUAGGGCAAGAUUUAAGCCCUAGCAAGUAGGCAGGCGUAAAGGCUUGUAACAAAGCCUUAGGGGUAACUCUAGGUAGAACGGCCUCUAGUGCAGAUCUUAGUAGUAGUAGCAAAUACUUAAAUAAGAACUUUAAGGACUAAAGUAGGGAAAGGUUCUAUAUAAACAGCAGUUAGACACAGGUUAGUUAAUCCUAAGAGAUAGGAUAAUUCCAUUUUAAUAUCAGUGCUUACGCUGCGCCCUUAAAAGGGAAGCUAGUUAAUAUUCUAGCACCUAGAUAUAGAUUCUCCGCAGCAACCUAACUAAGAGUGGAGACCUUAGCGGGAGCCCUAAGAAGAGUUCUCUUUUCUUCUUAACAGUCUGUUACCCUAAAAUUAGUUUGUCUAGAGCUAGGGUUUAAUAGCUAGAAGAGCGCUACACUUUUGCAGCGUUUAGUGCGCUCCUAACAAGCCUUAAAAAUCUACUUAAAGAAAUAGUUUUUACGCUAGGUUGUACUUAUAACUAUAGUAGGUCUCUAAGGUAAAAAGCCUCUAGUUAAUAGAAUAAUAUAGAUAAGGGAAGUUAGCAAAAUAGAUCUAUAACUUUAGGAAAAGGAUUAGCUCUAAGGGUUAGGUACGUUAGGCCUUAGGGAGAAGCCUCUAGCGUAGAAGGGCACUAACCGCAAGGUAGGCGCCUCUUAGCGCUAGGGUGCAGACACCCUUAGCAGGUUUUAGCUGUCUAGCGUACGUUUAACAACUAACUUAGAACUAGUAUAGAUAAGGGGAAUCUAACUAUCUAAUUAAAAUAUAGCAUUACAAUAGCUAGAAAGUAGUAUUAAUAUAAUAUAAUUUCUGCCUAGUACUCUAAAUAUUAAAGCAAAGAGAUUUGACUAAGCGCGGGUAAACAGCAGGAGUAACUAUAACUCUCUUAAGGUAGCCAAAUGCCUUGUUAUCUAAUUAGUGACGCGCAUAAAUAGAUUAACAAGAUUCCUACUAUCCCUAUCUACUAUCUAGCGAAACCACAGCUAAGGGAACAGGCUUAGCUAAAUUAGCGGGGAAAGAAGACCCUGUUAAGCUUAACUCUAGUUUAAUAUUAUAAAAAGACAUAGGGGGUGUAGAAUAGGUAGGAGCUUUAGCGCUAGUGAAAUACUACUACCCUUAUCAUUUUUUUACUUAUUUAAUAAAGCGGAGCUAGGCCUUACUACCUAACUUCUAGCGUUUAAGGUCCUUUAUAGGCUAAUCUAGGUUAAAGAUAUUAUUAGGUAAGGAGUUUAGCUAGGGCGGCACAUCUAUUAAACCAUAACGCAGGUGUCCUAAGGGGGACUUAUAGAGAACAGAAAUCUCUAGUAGAGUAAAAGGGCAAAAGUCCCCUUAAUUUUAAUUUUUAGUGUGAAUACAAACUAUAAAAGUGUGGCCUAUUAAUCCUUUAGUCCCUUGAAAUUUGAGGCUAGAGGUGCUAGAAAAGUUACUACAGGGAUAACUAGCUUGUGGCAGCCAAGCGUUUAUAGCGACGUUGCUUUUUGAUCCUUUAAUAUUAGCUCUUCCUAUUAUACUAAAGCAGAAUUUAGUAAGCGUUAGAUUGUUUACCUACUAAUAGGGAACGUAAGCUAGGUUUAGACCGUCGUAAGAUAGGUUAGUUUUACCCUACUAAUAACCUUGCCCUAAUAGUAAUACCGCUUAGUACGAGAGGAACCGCGGUUUUAGAUAAUUAGUUUUUGCGGCUAUCUAACUAGGCAUUGCCGCGAAGCUACUAUCUACUAGAUUAUAGCUAAACGCCUCUAAGUUAGAAUCCAUGCUAGAACAGGGUAAUUUCCGCCUGCACUAGUUAGAUACAAAUAGGCCUUUGGCCUAGAACCUUACUAGAUUAGCGUUAGCAGCCCUAUUAAAGUUAGGGUUGUUAGCUAGUGUAUUACAAUUGUACAGUGCGCAGGAUUAAAUCCUUUGUAGAUAACUUAGUUAUCUAGCUAGGUCGUGUAAGUAGUUAAGUAGCCUUGUUGUUACGAGCUACUAAGCGUAAGCCUGUUACUAGCUUAGUUGAAAUUAGGAUAUUAU